GGCUCGGGAAGGACAGGCUGUUUGCUCUGC
rnacentral:piRNA from 1 species